rnacentral:rRNA from 1 species
UACAGAGGGGGCAAGCGUUGUUCGGAAUUAUUGGGCGUAAAGAGCGUGUAGGCGGCCAGAAAAGUCCGCUGUGAAAACUCGAGGCUCAACUUCGAGCUGUCGGUGGAAACUUUCUGGCUAGAGUCCGGAAGAGGAGAAUGGAAUUCCUGGUGUAGCGGUGAAAUGCGCAGAUAUCAGGAAGAACACCCGUGGCGAAGGCGGUUCUCUGGGACGGUACUGACGCUGAGACGCGAAAGCGUGGGGAGCGAACAGG